rnacentral:rRNA from 1 species
CAAUAGCGUAUACUAACGUUGUUGCAGUUAAAAAGCUCGUAGUUGGAUUUCUGUGUUGGUGAGGCGGCCGGCCAUUCGUGGUUGUAGCUAGUUAUCACCGGCGCAUCUUGUCACAAGCCACGCUGGCCUUAACUGGUUGGCGUUGGGGACUGACUCGUUUACUUUGAGAAAAUUAGAGUGUUCAAAGCAGGCUAUCGCCUUGAAUAUGUUAGCAUGGAAUAAUGAUAUAGGACUUUGGUUCUAUUUUGUUGGUUGUUCGAGAACCGAAGUAAUGAUUGAUAGGGACAGUUGGGGGCAUUCAUAUUCCAUUGUCAGAGGUGAAAUUCUUGGAUUAACGGAAGAUGAACUACUGCGAAAGCAUCUGCCAAGGAUGUUUUCAUUGAUCAAGAACGAAAGUUAGGGAUCGAAGACGAUUAGAUACCGU